GGCAGGGUGUGCCCUUGGCGACCUGCCGGGGAUCCUGGAGGGAGGUAAACGUGCCGCACUCACCGCAGCCUCUGGGUUGUGUGUGGGAGGGAAAAGAGUCCGAAGAGAAAGGAGUCGCUCAUCAUCUCUCACUCACUAGCCAUCAACUAAUCAAACAUAUGUAAGACAUCGACUACAUGCUAGGUGCUUGGCUACAUGCUGUGCUAGGCCCAGUGAAGAGCAAGAGAGGGAAGGAAGCUAUUGGAGAACGUGCUCUGCAAAAAUGAGGUAGUCAGUCAAGAAAGUGAAAGACAUGGAACCCAGGAAAUAUAAACUUCAACACAGCAAAGAGCUUCUGCUGGCUGGCUGCUCAGGCUCUCCAAGGAGCCAGCUCUGGCACUCACUCCACAAGAAGAAUCCAGGAUGCACAAUUUUCAAACUGACUUCCUGUCUGUGUCCCUUGCUUCAAAGCCUAAACCCUGAGACUCUGAAUGAUUAGAUCUAUGUCCAGAUUGUCUACCUGCCAUGGGAUCACACGGUAUAAACACUACCGCUCAAGCCCAUCACUUCAACGGGUUCUGAGAGGGGUACAAUUCUGAAGACGAGCUGCUGUUGAAAAGUCAUAUAGCCAUACCUCGUUCACCUGCUCUAAUUCCAUCCCCACCAAACUAUCCUUUAAUCAUUUGGUUUACUUUGAAGCUUGCCUACUGGGGAAAAAGGCCUUGGCCUUUGGGAGUUAUGGUCUCUUUGGAAGUGAAUAAAUUGUCUUCAACAAUAUAAGCAAGAAAAGAGAAGAUAAACAGAGAGGAUCAAUCUACAAAGAGGAAAAUAGAAAAAGUACACAAAGGGAAGUACGGACAAAGAGAGAAAACUAAAAACUUUCUUGACUUUUCAGUUCUUGAGGUUUGGCUUUGCAUCCUGAACUUCUUUCCAUGAGAUUUCCCUGUAGCCUGCAGAUAUAUCACAUUUUCACUUGAUCUACUUUGAGUGAAUUUCUGGUUUUUCAACUAUGGCACAUUGACAAAAAUAUUAAAAAUUUAAAAAGCUUGAAACAGUGUGUCAGACCCUAGUGUCAGAUUGUAGUAAAUUCUCAGCAUAGUGCUGUCCUAUGAGGUUUCUUGGCAGUAAGCCAUUUUUAGCUAACCAUCCUCAACUCAAUAAUAUUUAUGGAUUUGCUUAUUCAAACAAAAUUAAAAAAAGUCUACAGUAAUAUUUUUACUUGUACAAAGAAAACUAUAUAAGCCCUGAAAAUUUUAGUUAGCAAUAAAAUACGAAAUGUUGUUACUGAA